UACAGAGGGGGCAAGCGUUGUUCGGAAUUACUGGGCGUAAAGGGCGCGUAGGCGGCCCUCUAAGUCAGACGUGAAAUCCCUCGGCUCAACCGGGGAACUGCGUCUGAUACUGGGUGGCUUGAAUCCGGGAGAGGGAUGCGGAAUUCCAGGUGUAGCGGUGAAAUGCGUAGAUAUCUGGAGGAACACCGGUGGCGAAGGCGGCAUCCUGGACCGGUAUUGACGCUGAGGCGCGAAAGCCAGGGGAGCAAACGGG
rnacentral:rRNA from 1 species